rnacentral:rRNA from 1 species
GAUGAACGCUGGCGGCGUGCCUAAUACAUGCAAGUCGAGCGAACGGACGAGAAGCUUGCUUCUCUGAUGUUAGCGGCGGACGGGUGAGUAACACGUGGAUAACCUACCUAUAAGACUGGGAUAACUUCGGGAAUCCGUAGCUAAUACCGGAUAAUAUUUUGAACCGCAUGGUUCAAAAGUGAAAGACGGUCUUGCUGUCACUUAUAGAUGGAUCCGCGCUGCAUUAGCUAGUUGGUAAGGUAACGGCUUACCAAGGCAACGAUGCAUAGCCGACCUGAGAGGGUGAUCGGUCACACUGGAACUGAGACACGGUCCAGACUCCUACGGGAGGCAGCAGUAGGGAAUCUUCCGCAAUGGGCGAAAGCCUGACGGAGCAACGCCGCGUGAGUGAUGAAGGUCUUCGGAUCGUAAAACUCUGUUAUUAGGGAAGAACAUAUGUGUAAGUAACUGUGCACAUCUUGACGGUACCUAAUCAGAAAGCCACGGCUAACUACGUG